AAUUGUUCGCAAUGGGCGCAAGCCUGACGACGCAACCCCGCGUGGAGGAUGAAGACCCUCGGGGCGUAAACUCCUUUCGACCGAUAUGAACAUCCAUGGGGCUCAAACUCCCGUGGCCUGACAGUAUCGGGGCAAGAAGCCCCUGCUCACCCCGUGCAAGCAGCCGCGGGAAUACGGGGGGGCAAGCGUUGUUCGGAAUUACUGGGCGUAAAGGGUCCGUAGGCGGCCAACUAAGUCAGACGUGAAAUCCCCCGGCUUAACCGGGGAACUGCGUCUGAUACUGGUUGGCUUGAGUGCAGGAGAGGAACGCGGAAUUCCAGGUGUAGCGGUGAAAUGCGUAGAUAUCUGGAGGAACACCGGUGGCGAAGGCGGCGUUCUGGACUGUAACUGACGCUGAGGCGCGAAAGCGUGGGGAGCAAACAGG
rnacentral:rRNA from 1 species